rnacentral:rRNA from 1 species
UAUUAGAAAUGGACGAAAGUCUGAUCUAGCGACACCGCGUGUGCGAUGAAGGCCUUCGGGUUGUAAAGCACUUUUUGGAAGGAAUAGGAAGGAAGGUACUUCCAGAAUAAGUCUCGGCUAACUACGUGCCAGCAGCCGCGGUAACACGUAGGAGGCAAACGUUAUCCGGAUUUACUGGGCGUAAAGCGCGUGUAGGUGGUUCUGUAAGUAGGGCGUGAAAGCUCCCGGCUCAACUGGGAGAGGCCGUUCUAAACUGCAGAGCUAGAGGAUGGUAGAGGGAGGUGGAAUUCCAGGUGUAGCGGUGGAAUGCGCAGAUAUCUGGAGGAACACCAGUGGCGAAAGCGGCCUCCUGGACCAUUCCUGACACUCAGACGCGAAAGCUAGGGUAGCAAACGGG